GCAAAAGGGAGCUUGCUACAGUGGCAAGGCACAGAAAAUGCCUCGAAGUGUUGAGAAGAAGAAGUAACAGUUUCUGCUGCAGCCAGCCCAUGCUCAUGAGGGCACAUCCAUAAGCAGAAGUGCCCCCGUUACACUGAUGCUGCUGAGAAGUAGAUGUUUCUGGCUUUGUGGGGUCCUCAGACACCACCCUCUAAAAGCAAUCAAAAGGUUGGACAUUAUUGUUGUGGAACUUAUGAGAAGGACUGAGAACAGCAGAAGGUGAAAUAUUUUUCCUUCUAUCUCCAGGUGUAUACUGGCUGAAAGAGCAAAGUAGGAAAAGCACAGGAGUAUGGCUGAUGUGUUUGAAGUCAGGUGCAAACUAUGAAGGAGCAAACGAGCUAAUGGCUACAGUGAAAACAUUUAAAACCUCAUUUAACCUGACCAUUUUUCUCUUAUCAAAGACAUGGAGAGAUUCCAGAAGCAAUUCACUGAAGAAAAUUACCCCAUCCAGAAGAAAUACCCUAGGAUUUGACAAGUAUCAUCAGAUGAGGACAUUUCUAGACACUGUUUUGGAGGUAGACAUUAACUACCUGAAAUGACCUCUCUCAUAUCUGUUGAUAACACAUCUGUGACAGAGGGAAUAUACAUAAUGAAUGAGCUAUUAAAUUGCAGGAUCCUACUGAAAGGCUGCAAGAAACUCAGACUUUUCCAGAGUGCUAACAUGAUUCAUACUGUAUGUUUGCAUGAUAUUGGCAGCUGUAAGACUUGGGAUUAUUUUAAAAGGUUGUGUUCUCACAUAUAUUUAAGUAUUUGUCAUUGUGGGUCUUCAUGGGAAGUCUGUGUUUAAGCUGUACAAGAAUGCUAAAGAGAAAUGAUUAUUGGUAGCAGAUCAUUUGGGACCAUCCACUUCCACCUCUUGGCUUCAGAACUCAACAAAUCCAGCUCCAGCUGAAGAGACCAAGACACAGCUUCAUGCAGAGAGCGUCACUGGAUCUCUGAGCAGUGAGCACAGCUGACCCAUGGGGCCACAUGGGUCACGGUCACUUGAGUGCAGCCCAGUAUUGUCAGUGGAACUUCUGGAACUGGAAGAUCACCAUUCAGUUCCUUUUAGACUCUACAGACAGCCCAGAUUCAACGCCAGUAACUCAUGCAAUUGCUAUGAACAGCAAAAUGGGAUUGCUAGUAUGAGGUGAUGUUUCUUGUCACUGUGGAAUUUGCCAUGAGAUAGUUAGAUGGCACUGGAAGCCAAAGAAGAAUGGAGUUCAAAAUCCCAAAUAUUAUCCUAAAAGCACUAUUUAUUUUAAUAACUAUGAGCUCCAUGUGAGGACCAUUACACCAAAUAAUGUGAAGAAAACUCUGUGGCAGACAGACCCAUUGCCUGUGCUGAAAUCCAGAUGGCAAUGCCAGCCAGUUUCUGACGGAUAUUUACCUAGGCUCCUUUCAACAUUUUCUUGAUGUUCUUCAGAUGCUGUCGGUAGCUGAAAGCUUUAUUCAGUGUGCCUCCAAAAUUCCUGCGCUCCAACAUUCCACUGAGCUCAGCGGUUGGGAUGCCAGCAGAGCUGACCACCUACAACCAAGCCUUGCAGAAUGGUAUGAACGGAUCCCAAACAAAAAUUGGUUAUUUCCAAGCAGCCCUGUCUCACCAUAGAGAGAUGUGGAAACAAGUAAAUAAAAAGUCAGUCGUUUCGAGCCCA
rnacentral:lncRNA from 1 species